rnacentral:rRNA from 1 species
AUUGAACGCUGGCGGCAGGCUUAACACAUGCAAGUCGAGCGGGUGUAGCAAUACAUCAGUGGCAGACGGGUGAGUAACACGUGGGAACCUUCCUCGUUGUACGGGACAACUCAGGGAAACUUGAGCUAAUACCGUAUACGUCAGAGAGGAGAAAGAUUUAUCGCAAUGAGACGGGCCCGCGUCGGAUUAGCUAGUUGGUGGGGUAACGGCCUACCAAGGCGACGAUCCGUAGCCGAUCUGAGCGGAUGAUCAGCCACACUGGGACUGAGACACGGCGCAGAAUCCUUCGUGAGGCCGCAGUGUGUAAUGCUUGACAAGAAGCGCCAGCCUGAUCCAGUCAUGCCACGUGAGUAAAAGAAUCCUUUGGGCAGCAAAGCUCUUUUGCCAGUGAAGUUAAUUAAGGUACCUGUAGAAUAAGCCGCGGCAAAGAGCGUGCCAGCCACUCCUGUAA